UCUAGGCAAUAGCUCUCCAAAAUGAUCAAGAUGAAGUGGACAUAACAGCAGCCGGGAAUGACAUUGAUGAUACAUUUAUUACAUACAACGAUAUUGUUGACGAUGAUGAUAACCUGUUUGGUAUCAUGAACCUGUACAUAAAGAGUGAUCUACACUUCGACUUACACAACAUACCAGCAUCAGCCGAGCACUCUGACCAGAAGAAAGACUUUGGAUAUAAAUUCUUUUCAUUUUCAACAUUCUUUAAAUAAUAUAUUAAAGAACAGAAAAAUA